AUAGAGACUCAGAGCUGCAUAUCAAUAAGCGGAGGAAAAGAAACUAACAAGGAUUCCCUUAGUAACGGCGAGUGAAGCGGGAAGAGCUCAAAUUUGAAAUCUUCAAGGUUCUACCUUGACGAAUUGUAGUUUAAAGAAGUGUUUUCUGUUAGAUGAGUAGCAAAAGUUCCUUGGAAUGGGACAUCAUAGAGGGUGAGAAUCCCGUAUUUGGUUAUUCAUUCUAGCUUUGUGAUACACUUUCAAAGAGUCGGAUUGUUUGGGAAUGCAGUCCAAAAUGGGUGGUAAAUUUCAUCUAAAGCUAAAUAUUGGCGAGAGACCGAUAGCGAACAAGUACCGUGAGGGAAAGAUGAAAAGAACUUUGAAAAGAGAGUUAAACAGUACGUGAAAUUGUCAAAAGGGAAGCGUUUGACACCAGUGUUGUUUAGUUGAAAAUCAAUUCAAUAGUUUUUGAUUUUAAGUAGUAUUUGACUUCAUCAGCUUGCUGCUUUUUUCUCUGAAAUUAUUGAAUGCACUUUUCAGUUAACAAGUCAACAUCAGUUUCUUUUGUUGUAAAAAGGUGAGAGGAAGGUGGCUUGCGCUUCGGCUCAAGUGUUUAUAGCCUUUUACCCCUGCAAUCGAAGAGACUGAGGUCUGCAGCGUAGAUCCUUCGGGGUUAGAUACAUUUGUGCUAAGUUAUAGCUUUUUCAUAGACAACUUGUUGACUAUAAUUUAGUCAUGUCGGCUUACUCGCUUAUGCUAUUUUACCUACGCUUAGGAUGUUGAAGUCAUCGUAUCGCGC
rnacentral:rRNA from 1 species